rnacentral:lncRNA from 10 species
CAAACAUAACACAGUGUGUUAACACUGCAUUAUCACCCUGGAUGUCAGUAGUAAUAUCAUGGAUAUUAUGAAUAAUAUCACAGGGUGCUAACACAGUGUGUUCACACCCUGGAUAUCAGUAGUAACAUCAUAGACAUUAUGAAUAAUAUCACAGGGUGUUAACACAAUGUGUUAACAUCUUGGGUAUCAGUAGUGGAUCAGUAUCAGGAUAUCAUCCUGGAUAUCACAGGGUGAUAUUAUUCAUAAUAUCAUGGAUAUUAAUUGUAUUAACACCCUGGAUAUCAAUAGUAAUACACUGGAUAUUAUGAAUAAUAUCACCGUGUGUUAACAACAGUGGAUAUCAGUAGUAAUAUUGUGGAUAUUAGGAAUAAUAUCACAGUGUGUUAACACAGUGUGUCAACACUGGAUAUUAGUGAUAUCAUGAAAAAUAUCACAGUGUGUUAACACUGGACAUUAGUAGUAAUAUCAUGAAUAUUCUGAGUAAUAUAACAGUGUGUUAACA